CUAUAAUGCAGUCGAGCGGAGUUGUUCCUUCGGGGACAGCUUAGCGGCGGACGGGUGAGUAACACGUAGGCAACCUGCCUGUAAGACUGGGAUAACUACCGGAAACGGUAGCUAAGACCGGAUACACAACUUGGUCGCAUGGCCGGGUUGGGAAAAGCGGAGCAAUCUGCUGCUUACAGAUGGGCCUGCGGCGCAUUAGCUAGUUGGUGGGGUAACGGCUCACCAAGGCGACGAUGCGUAGCCGACCUGAGAGGGUGAACGGCCACACUGGGACUGAGACACGGCCCAGACUCCUACGGGAGGCAGCAGUAGGGAAUCUUCCGCAAUGGACGCAAGUCUGACGGAGCAACGCCGCGUGAGUGAUGAAGGUUUUCGGAUCGUAAAGCUCUGUUGCCAGGGAAGAACGCUUAGGAGAGUAACUGCUCUUAAGGUGACGGUACCUGAGAAGAAAGCCCCGGCUAACUACGUGCCAGCAGCCGCGGUAAUACGUAGGGGGCAAGCGUUGUCCGGAAUUAUUGGGCGUAAAGCGCGCGCAGGCGGCUUUGUAAGUCUGGUGUUUAAACCUAGGGCUCAACCCUGGGUCGCAUCGGAAACUGCAAGGCUUGAGUGCAGAAGAGGAGAGUGGAAUUCCACGUGUAGCGGUGAAAUGCGUAGAGAUGUGGAGGAACACCAGUGGCGAAGGCGACUCUCUGGGCUGUAAC
rnacentral:rRNA from 1 species